rnacentral:misc_RNA from 1 species
GAUGAAGAACGCAGCGAAAUGCGAUAAGUAGUGUGAAUUGCAGAAUUCAGUGAAUCAUCGAAUCUUUGAACGCACAUUGCGCCCCUUGGUAUUCCAUGGGGCAUGCCUGUUCGAGCGUCAUUUGUACCUUCAAGCUUUGCUUGGUGUUGGGUGUUUGUCUCGCCUUUGCGUGUAGACUCGCCUUAAAAUAAUUGGCAGCCGGCGUAUUGAUUUCGAAGCGCAGUACAUCUCGCGCUUUGCACUCAUAACGACAGCGUCCAAAAGUACAUUUUACACUCUUGACCUCGGAUCAGGUAGGGAUACCCGCUGAACUUAAGCAUAUCAAUAAGCGGAGGA